CAGUCUCGAUGUGCUUUCUUCUUUACUUCUCUAGUUGUGGGACUUCCAUUCAGCCAGCUCUCAGGAUGUUCUGAAAGAUGGUUAUUGUGUAUUUUAGUUCUAAUUUUGAUGUGGUUCUCGGAGGUGGUGAGUGCC